UACGAAGGGGGCUAGCGUUGCUCGGAAUCACUGGGCGUAAAGGGUGCGUAGGCGGGGCUUUAAGUCAGGGGUGAAAUCCUGGAGCUCAACUCCAGAACUGCCUUUGAUACUGAGGAUCUUGAGUUCGGGAGAGGUGAGUGGAACUGCGAGUGUAGAGGUGAAAUUCGUAGAUAUUCGCAAGAACACCAGUGGCGAAGGCGGCUCACUGGCCCGAUACUGACGCUGAGGCACGAAGGCGUGGGGAGCGAACGGG
rnacentral:rRNA from 1 species